GAUCCUGGCUCAGGACGAACGCUGGCGGCAUGCCUAACACAUGCAAGUCGAACGGAGAUAUUUGGAAGCUUGCUUUUGGAUAUCUUAGUGGCGGACGGGCGAGUAACGCGUGAGCAACCUGGCCUUCAGUGUGGAACAACGUCUGGAAACGGGCGCUAAUACCGCAUGAUGCAGUGGAAUCGCAUGGUUCUGCUGUCAAAGGAGCAAUCCGCUGAAGGAUGGCGUCG
rnacentral:rRNA from 1 species